UAAAAUAAAAGCGAUGCGGGAAAUAAAUAAAAUAAAAGCGAUGCAGGAAAUAAAUAAAAUAAAGGCGAUGCGGGAAAUAAAUAAAAUAAAAGCGAUGCGGGAAAUAAAUAAAUAAAGAGAUAUAUAAGAACCUGCUCCAAACGGAGGCUUGGAUUCUGGUACAAAAAUAAACCUCCGACUCCUGAAGCUAAAGACGACAGCAACUUGAAGUGACCUAACUCAAUCUCAC
rnacentral:lncRNA from 1 species